GUUGUGUAUAUAUCUAUCUUUUGAUAUAUUCAUGAACAAACUUUAUGGCAACAGAAAAAUCACUUACAAAGGUUCAAGUUGCCUGAGCGUGUAGUCUGCAUUGGUGGCUUUUUGCGAAUUGAGUUGUUAGCUCGGGUUCAGGUACAAGCAGCAGUCGGCAAAUACAAUAUAUGUUUGGCUCACAGUUUGACUCACAAUUUGGCUCACGUGCAAGUGAUAGGGCGCAAAUAAUCACCUGCAUUUAG
rnacentral:lncRNA from 1 species